GUUCAGCCCCACAAGGAGCUGCUGAACCUUUCCCAACUGGUUGCUCCCUCCAGGGAUAGGGGCUCCCCAUUGCCCUACAUUCUCAUCAGCAGUGAAGACUGUUCUGUUGGCUAGUUUCCCGAGACUUUUCAGUUCCCCAGAGUGAUCUGAAACCACACAUUCCUCUCUCCACGCUACUGUAGCACAGUGCUCAUCCGGUCGUACUGAAUCCUGUGAGAUGCCACCCCUCCUGUCUGCUGGCCAUUCUAAUUCCAUCCCCAUCUUUGGCACAAACUAAGAGCCAUCUUCUGGCUCCUGGUGGAGGAAGCUGCAGCAACUUUUGAUCUCUCUCCUUCUAUGGGGACUCUCCUUUGUGUUGCUGACCUUGAAGUCCCUCCGAGGAUCACAUGUUUGAGAUCUGCCAUCACGCCGUGUUCCUGCCGUCAGGAAAGAGAACGGGGCUGGAUGGGAAAUGCGCCCCACAGACUCAGGCGUUUGCACACCUGGUGGUACUGUUUUGGGAGGUUGUAGAACUUUGAAGAGGUGAGGCCUGGAUGACGG
rnacentral:lncRNA from 1 species